ensembl:snRNA Gm25140 predicted gene, 25140
AUACUUGGCAGGGGAGACAGCAAUAUCAGGAAGAAGGUUUUCCCAGGGUAAGGCUUACCCUGUGCAUUUGGGGUGUGCUGACCCCUGAGUAAAUUUGACUUCAUAAUUUGUGGUAGUGAGGAGUACAUUUGAGCUCUUUC